AGAGUGCUUCUCGUUAGAAUCUGCCUUGGCUGAUUGAUGCUCCACCAGGAAGGACCCUGAGUCGACCUAAGAGCCAAGCAAGAUGACUGGCCAGAGACAACCUGGACACUAACAGCAUCACCAUAAACCCUGAGACUGCGAGCCACAUGGCAAAACAGUUCCCCCUGGGGUCCCUUACCCUACUGAUCUCUGCCCGGGCACCCCUUCCCAGUAAAGUCUCUGCUUUGUCAGCACGUGUGUCUCCUCAGACACUUGAUUUCCGACUGCUAGACGAGACCCCACUCUCAGGCCUGGAAAGGGUCCCCCUUGCUGCAACAACCGCACAGGUAUUGGCGGUAAGCUGAGCGGAGGACACUGAGGUGGGUGUAGAAAAAUACAGAAGUUCGAAGAAACAAAUAUCCCACUGGCAACAUUAUUAUGAAUCAGAUAAAGGAAAGAAGAUCUGGGAUGAUGCCACUGUGGUUCAGGGUGCUGAGGUCACCUGUCCAAGGUCAGGCAGCUAAAACCUGGCCCGGGUGGAAUGAAAACAUAAGAAGAACCUGACAGGCCAUGGGGAACACAGCCUAAUUAGCGAGGUGUCCCAGGCGCGGUGAUAACAGGUUGAAAGGAUGUGUGACCAAGCGGCGGUCCUGAAAGCUCAGGCCGUGUGGAUCUCCAGAAUUCUGAGGCGCCCAGCUCAGUGAGGCUCCUCACUGCCCCCCUUCCCAAUCAUCAAAAAUCAUUCCAAGCCCACAGUGUGCCCUCCGGGGCAGGCCAGAGACGCGUCUGCAUGCCAACACCUCUGGGAACUAAAAGGCCCUCCCCCAGUGGACCAGCACUGAAUUCCAUGGGUCACAAACUGUGUGCAGUGUCGCAACUGUGGUUCAAGGGGAACUCCUGGCUGAAGCCCACAAGGGGCAGGCAGGGGCAUCAAAGCAGCUGCCCUCUGCUCCCAGGGGACCUGGAAGAAAGCGGUCUUGACCUUUGCGUGACCCAUGGCCCAUGGGUGACAGAUGUCGUGCUAUGAACUGUGCCUUCACCCUAAGGCUGAGCAGCUGGGCAGAAGGGAGACACGUGAAUGGGCCGAGGCUGUGAGGGAGCAUGAGAAAGCACUGCCGUCCACACCAACGUCUCAUAACCAACAAGGGGCAUGUGGACCACCAGUCAGUGGCAUGGGCAGACGCUCCCAGAUUCUGGAGACACGGCCCUCUCUCCUAUCUCCUAAGGAUGCCUGUAACAUGUCCAAGGGCUUUCCCUUGCAUCCCUGCCCAGAAGCCCCCGAAACAGGCAGUCAAAGGUGUCCCUACUUGACAGGAAUAUCAGGCUCCCAAAGGCAAAGCGUCUGCUGGAGCUGACCAAGGCAGCCUGUGAGAAGAAGCUGCGUCCGGGCUGUCUCUUCUAUUCCAGUUCCCACGUGAGGACGCCACCUGUCUUCCUCCUGGGGUUGUCAUGGGGUCCAUCAGAAGUAGGGGUGGAGAAACUGAGAGUGAGCGAUAGAGGAAAGGGAACAGGAAAGGAGUUCUUGCUGAGCGCCUGAUGCUGAAGACUAUAUACAGGUAUAGUCUUGUCACUUAGUUGCUAAACUAUGUCUCUUUCCCACCCCAUGGAUUAUAGCCCAGCAGGCAUAUCUGUCCAUGGGAUUUCCCAGGUAGGAAUACUAGACCCAGUUGCUAUUUCCUUCUCCAGGGUAUCUUCCCAAUCCAGAGAUUGAACCCACAUCUCCUGUGUCUCCUGCAUUGCAGGCGGAUUCUUUCCCCACUGAUCCAUCAAGGAAGAUGUCUGUACAUCUCACGACUGAUAAUGUAUUUAGGAUUUUUUUCAUUUGAUAAACCCUUUAACAUAAACUUGAGUGGUCACCUUGGGUUUCUUCAUAAUUAUAACUUAAACUAUG
ensembl:lncRNA